GUCGUCGUGGCCGAGUGGUUAAGGCGACAGACUAGAAAUCUGUUGGGCUCUGCCCGCACAGGUUCGAAUGUUGUCGGCGACG
rnacentral:tRNA from 1 species